rnacentral:misc_RNA from 1 species
AAAGUCGUAACAAGGUUUCCGUAGGUGAACCUGCGGAAGGAUCAUUAACACGUAUCCAACGUUAAAACAACCCUGUGAACCUUAAGCUUGCUCGCGUUGCUAUGAAAGCAGCAAUCCCUGGUAAAUCAUUGUUGACCAGCUUUUGAGUCAGGGACUUCCGCCUAAUAGUUACGCUCGUAGCGAUCGUGGCAAGCGACCCGGCACCCAAAGCAAUCAGAGUCUGAAAGUGUCUUUGAUUGUAAGGGUGGCGCAGUAAACGAUCACUGGAGGCCGACACGGCCGGUGACCGGGUCCCUGGGUCCCCAUGCCCCUUUAUCACCACUCUACCAAUUUCUCUCGGUAGCGUUAAUUCCGUUACCAAAAAAACAACAGAACAACUGUUAACAAUGGAUAUCUUGGUUCUC